rnacentral:rRNA from 1 species
UACAGAGGGUGCAAGCGUUAAUCGGAAUUACUGGGCGUAAAGCGCGCGUAGGUGGUUUGUUAAGUUGGAUGUGAAAAUCCCCGGGCUCAACCUGGGAACUGCAUUCAAAACUGACAAGCUAGAGUAUGGUAGAGGGUGGUGGAAUUUCCUGUGUAGCGGUGAAUGCGUAGAAUAUAGGAAGGAACACCAGUGGCGAAGGCGACCACCUGGACUGAUACUGACACUGAGGUGCGAAAAGCGUGGGGGAGCAAACAGG